rnacentral:rRNA from 1 species
GAUGAACGCUGGCGGCGUGCCUAAUACAUGCAAGUAGAACGCUAAAGGACGGAGCUUGCUCUUUCCGGGUGAGUCGCGCACGUGUGAGUAACGCGUAGGUAACCUGCCUGGUAGCGGGGGAUAACUAUGGGAAACGAUAGCUAAUACCGCAUAACAGUAGAUGUUGCAUGAUAUCUACUUAAGAGGCGCAAUUGCACCACUACCAGAUGGACCUGCGUUGUUUUAGCUAGUUGGUGAGGUACCGGCUCACCAAGGCGACGAUACAGAGCGGCCCUGAGAGGGCGGUUAGCCGCCCUGGGACUGGGACCGGGCCCAUAGGCCUUGGGGUGGGAGCAAUAGGGAAACGGGGGGCAGCGGCGGGAGUCUGUGCGAACAACGCCGCGGGAGUAUGGAAGGUCUCCGGGUCGUAAAGCUCGGUUGUAAGGGAAGAACGAGUGUGCGCGUGGGAAGUUGACACUGUGACGGUAUCUUAUCAGAAAGCGACGGCUAACUACGUG